rnacentral:rRNA from 1 species
AGAGUUUGAUCCUGGCUCAGGAUGAACGCUAGCGGCAGGCUUAAUACAUGCAAGUCGUGGGGCAGCAUGAGUAGCAAUACUUGAUGGCGACCGGCAAACGGGUGCGGAACACGUACACAACCUUCCUAUAAGUGGGGAAUAGCCCAGAGAAAUUUGGAUUAAUACCCCGUAACAUAUAAAAUAGGCAUCUAUAUUAUAUUAUAGCUUCGGCGCUUAUUGAUGGGUGCGCGUCUGAUUAGGUAGUUGGCGGGGUAACGGCCCACCAAGCCUACGAUCAGUAGCUGAUGYGAGAGCAUGAUCAGCCACACGGGCACUGAGACACGGGCCCGACUCCUACGGGAGGCAGCAGUAAGGAAUAUUGGACAAUGGGCGAAAGCCUGAUCCAGCCAUGCCGCGUGAAGGAUUAAGGUCCUCUGGAUUGUAAACUUCUUUUAUUUGGGACGAAAAAAGGGAAUUCUUUCCCACUUGACGGUACCAAGUGAAUAAGCACCGGCUAACUCCGUGCCAGCAGCCGCGGUAAUACGGAGGGUGCAAGCGUUAUCCGGAUUCACUGGGUUUAAAGGGUGCGUAGGCGGGUAUGUAAGUCAGUGGUGAAAUCUCGGAGCUUAACUCCGAAACUGCCAUUGAUACUAUAUAUCUUGAAUAUUGUGGAGGUUUGCGGAAUAUGUCGUGUAGCGGUGAAAUGCUUAGAUAUGACAUAGAACACCUAUUGCGAAGGCAGCAGGCUACACAUAUAUUGACGCUGAGGCACGAAAGCGUGGGGAUCAAACAGGAUUAGAUACCCUGGUAGUCCACGCCCUAAACGAUGGAUACUCGACAUACGCGAUACACUGUGUGUGUCUGAGCGACAGCAUUAAGUAUCCCACUGGGGAAUACGACCGCAAGGGUUGAAACUYAAAGGAAUUGACGG